UACGAAGGGUGCAAGCGUUACUCGGAAUUACUGGGCGUAAAGCGUGCGUAGGUGGUGAGUUAAGUCUGUCGUGAAAGCCCCGGGCUCAACCUGGGAAUGGCGAUGGAUACUGGCUCGCUAGAGUGCGGUAGAGGAGAGUGGAAUUCCCGGUGUAGCAGUGAAAUGCGUAGAGAUCGGGAGGAACAUCAGUUGCGAAGGCAGCCCCCUGGGUCGAUACUGACGCUCAUGCACGAAAGCGUGGGGAGCAAACAGG
rnacentral:rRNA from 1 species